AGCCUAACACACUGCAAGUCGAACGGCAGCACAGGAGAGCUUGCUCUCUGGGUGGCGAGUGGCGGACGUGGUGAGGAAUACAUCGGAAUCUACUUUUCGUGGGGGAUAACGUAGGGAAACUUACGCUAAUACCNGCAUACGACACUACGGGUGAAAAGCAGGGUGAUCUUCGGACCUUGCGCGAUUGAAUGAAGCCGAUGUCGAGAUUAGCUAGUUUGGCGGGGUAAAGGCCCACCAAAAGGCGACAGAUCCGUAGCUGGUCUGAGAGGAUAGAUCAGCCACACUGGAACUGAGACACGGUCCAGACUCCUACGGGAGGCAG
rnacentral:rRNA from 1 species